AUGACUAGUGUGGUCAUAACAAAACUGAACAAAGCAUAUGAUCAGACGGGUCCACUGUUGCCAUGGAAAAACGAAUUUACAGCCUACAAUUUAACAGAUUUUCACGUUGAGUUGAAUGGCCUAUACCCAGAGGGAUUCUAUUUUGAAUCCAAGUGGUAUUUUGGAUUCUCAAAUCCCUACAUUUGUUUACUAUGUUGGUGGAGUACUACUUCCUUGAAGAAUACUAAUAUAAAAGGAAUGUACGACGGAUUCGUUGACAAGUUAUAUCAAAUAUUUGUGGGCUGUUUUUGUUAUUACUAUCCUAUUUUUCCUACUUUUCUACUUUAUAUUUUAUUUUAUC